UACGUAGGGUCCGAGCGUUGUCCGGAAUACUGGGCGUAAAGCGUGCGCAGGCGGUGAUGUAAGACAGAUGUGAAAUCCCCGGGCUCAACCUGGGAACUGCAUUUGUGACUGCAUCGCUGGAGUGCGGCAGAGGGGGAUGGAAUUCCGCGUGUAGCAGUGAAAUGCGUAGAUAUGCGGAGGAACACCGAUGGCGAAGGCAAUCCCCUGGGCCUGCACUGACGCUCAUGCACGAAAGCGUGGGGAGCAAACAGG
rnacentral:rRNA from 1 species